rnacentral:tRNA from 1 species
AGGGAUGUAGUUCAAGGGUAGAACAGCGGUCUCCAAAACCGUCAAUGUGAGUUCGAAUCUUACCAUCCCUGC